rnacentral:rRNA from 1 species
CUACGGGGGGCUGCAGUAGGGAAUAUUGGACAAUGGGCGAAAGCCUGAUCCAGCAACACCGCGUGCACGAUGACGGCCUUCGGGUUGUAAAGUGCUUUUAGAGGAGAUGAGAAAGGACAGUAUCCUCUGAAUAAGCCUCGGCGAACUACGUGCCAGCAGCCGCGGUAAAAAGUAGGAGGCAAGCGUUAUCCGGAUUUAUUGGGCGUAAAGCGCGUGCAGGCGGUCUAGCAAGUUGGAUGUGAAAGCUCCCGGAUCAACUGGGAGAGGUCGUUCAAUACUGUUAGACUAGAGAAUAGGAGAGGGAGGUGGAAUUCCGGGUGUAGUGGUGAAAUGCGUAGAUAUCCGGAGGAACACCAGUGGCGAAAGCGGCCUCCUGGACUAUUUCUGACGCUAAGACGCGAAAGCUAGGGUAGCAAACGGGAUUAGAUACCCUAGUAGUC